rnacentral:lncRNA from 1 species
UUGUCGCAGGCGGCGCGCGCCGAGACCGUCAAGACCAUCAAGAUUGGAGCCCCGCCGCCGCCCUCCGGUGGACUCCGUGAGUGCCUGCCCGCCCGCGCGCGCCUCAUAUAUACGUCUCUUGAAUCUUGAUCACGAGUUCAGAAUCGUUUGGAGCUGAUUUGUAAGGGUUUAGUUUAGAUUAAAAACAUCGGCAAAGGAUAGGUACAGAUAUACGAGCUCAGAUCGAAAACCUCAUAUGUUUGCAGCUUUGCACAAAAAAAAAACAUCUGACAUUUGCUAUGGCACAGCCGGGACUCUCAACUCUGACCAGGCGAGGGACUUCGACCUCCCCUUGAAGGAGCGGUUCUACCUGCAGCCGCUGCCGCCGGCGGAGGCGGCGGCGAGGGUGAAGACGUCGGCGCAGGACAUCAUCAACCUCAAGCCGCUCAUCGACAAGAAGGCGUGGCCGUACGUCCAGAACGACCUCCGCCUCCGGGCCUCCUACCUGCGCUACGACCUCAAGACCGUCAUCGCUUCCAAGCCCAAGGAGGAGAAGAAGAGCCUCAAGGAGCUCACCGGCAAGCUCUUCAGCACCAUCGACGAUGUAAGUUAACC